ACUGCUGCUUGCUCUACUCUAAUAACACUGUCUCCAUUUGCAGCUGGCUGGUGUUCUGGUGGGGUGGCAGCAUCGGUGGGAGGGGAAACAACUACUCUCUCUACGGGCUCAUUGGGUGCUCUGUCUGACACUAUAAGGUGCUGAUUGGCCGAGGGGAGCGGCCCAUGACCCGUGGAGGAACGAGAGCCGUUGCUGACUGGUUGAGCUGGGGUCGCCAGUUCUGCGGAGGAGGGUACUGCACUCGGCCCAUGGACCAGUCACUGGUGAGACAAGAAGAUGAUCAUAACAUUGGACAGCAUAAAAACAAAAAAACCUAAUAGAGGUCUACAGGAAUGAAUCCUUAAACCUGGAAAUGACUGGUAUUUUUGCAGUCCUUCCUGGGUAUGGACAUCCAAGACUUCAUAAGGUCUUCAUUAACACAAGAUUAUGUCCAAAUGAAUGUCUACAUCUUCAUUUUUUGUUCUCCAAAUUGAUCAAUUAUGUAAAAUAACGUCCCACUCAUUAAAUUUGAAGCUUUUAUAUUGAUAAAAUAUUAAUUUAAAUAUUAAUGCUCCAGUUUCGGCGACUGAAACAGCUGUAUAUUAUCUGUAUGUUACUCAGUGCUAAUUUAUAGGUGUCUCUGUUGGUGCAAAGAACUUAUACAUACACAUGCAGUCUGCGGAUGCACCUGGCUAAACCAAGCUAGCAUGUGUUAGCUGAUAACUUAGCAUUUCACCCAUGUUGUCAUUUCUUACUCCAAAAAAACAAAGAUGGCAACAGCCAAAACACUCACGCUGACCCACAGUGGCCAUUUUUUAUGUACAGUUUAUGUUAACAAUAGCUUGGAUGAAAAAUCUACUAAAAACUUUAAUUUUGUGACUUCAGCGUAUCAUCGAAUGAAUCCCCAAAGAAGUUCAACUAUAACUAUAUGAGAUACUCACAUUUCUUUUUAUUUUCUUUGUUUUUUUAUGUGUUAAAAUCAUUAUCUAUUUUAUUUUAUGACAUAUUAUCUCACAUUACCAGGCCCUUACCAUGCGCAUGUGGGAAUAUUUGUUAAAAGGUAGUUUUUUACUCCCACUGUUGCCAAGUGCUUGCUCAAAGGGGAUCGUUUGAUUGUUGGUGUUUUGUAUUAUUAUAGGGUCUCUACCUUAGAGUAUAAAGUGCUCUGAGGCGACUGCUGUUAUGAUUUGGUGUUAUAUGAAUAAAACUGACUUGAAUAAGUUA